rnacentral:rRNA from 1 species
GACGUAGGGCGCGAGCGUUGUCCGGAUUUAUUGGGCGUAAAGAGCUCGUAGGCGGCUUGUCGCGUCGUCCGUGAAAACCCACAGCUCAACUGUGGGCUUGCGGGCGAUACGGGCAGGCUAGAGUUCGGUAGGGGAGAAUGGAAUUCCUGGUGUAGCGGUGAAAUGCGCAGAUAUCAGGAAGAACACCCGUGGCUAAGGCGGUUCUCUAGUACGGUACUGACGCUGAGACGCGAAAGCGUGGGGAGCGAACAGG